ensembl:snoRNA
GGCACUUGUGUGUGUUUUGUUUUAACUUGUGGACUAAGACUUAACGGAAAGGUGCAAAAAAUAAAUCCUUUCUUGUAGCCCAGAACUCAUUGUUCAGUAUGAGUUUUGAUAUAUAAGAAGGAAUAUU